CCUACGGGAGGCAGCAGUGGGGAAUAUUGGGCAAUGGGCGCACGCCUGACCCAGCAACGCCGCGUGAAGGAUGAAGGCCCUCGGGUUGUAAACUUCUUUUAUUCAAGACGUAACAAAUGACGGGACCGAAUGAAUAAGCCAACGCUAACUCAGUGCCAGCGGCCGCGGUAAUACGUGGGUGGCAAGCGUUAUCCGGAUUUACUGGGUGUAAAGGCCGUUUAGGCGGGAGAGUAAGUCAGACGUGAAAUUCCAGGGCUCAACCCUGGAAUUGCGUUUGAAACUGGUCUUCUUGAGUGAUGGAGAGGCAGGCGGAAUUCGGGGUGUAGCGGUGAAAUGCGUAGAUAUACGGAGGAACACCAGUGGCGAAGGCGGCCUGCUGGACAUUAACUGACGCUGAGGCGCGAAAGCGUGGGGAGCAAACAGGAUUAGAUACCCUUGUAGUC
rnacentral:rRNA from 1 species